GGGCUCGUGGUCUAGCUGGUUAUGACGUCGCCUUCACACGGCGGAGGUCUCGAGUUCGAAUCUCGACGAGCCCAC
rnacentral:tRNA from 1 species